UACGUAGGGUGCAAGCGUUAAUCGGAAUUACUGGGCGUAAAGCGUGCGCAGGCGGUUGUGUAAGACAGGUGUGAAAUCCCCGGGCUUAACCUGGGAACUGCAUUUGUGACUGCACGGCUAGAGUGUGUCAGAGGGGGGUGGAAUUCCACGUGUAGCAGUGAAAUGCGUAGAUAUGUGGAGGAACACCAAUGGCGAAGGCAGCCCCCUGGGAUAACACUGACGCUCAUGCACGAAAGCGUGGGGAGCAAACAGG
rnacentral:rRNA from 1 species